CAUACCUUCCGGAGACAAGAUGAUCUUGGUCUAGACAAGUUUUCUACCAGCUGAGCAACUCCACAGGAAUUUGUACUUUUAGCCUCUAAACCGCUUCCACCAUGGUGAUGAGUUGCCACGGUGCCCUCAUAAGAGCUAGUGCAGUGCUAUUUGUAAUUGUAACCUUCAAAACUGUAAGGUAAAUCCUUUGGGAUGUGGUAAUAGACCACUGACUUCCACCACAGAGAUGUUAAAAGUGUCAUCAGAUAGCCUCUGAGGCCUGUGGCAGACAUUUCCACUUUGCUGUCACCACCUGUUGAGU